GGGCCCGUAGCUUAGCCGGAUAGAGCAAGUUAGGGGUUUAUCCUUAACCUCCAAUCGGCCUGCGGAGCCGAAGGUCCGGGGUUCAAAUCCCCGCGGGCCCGCCA
rnacentral:tRNA from 1 species